rnacentral:rRNA from 1 species
UACGAAGGGGGCUAGCGUUGCUCGGAAUCACUGGGCGUAAAGGGUGCGUAGGCGGGUUUUUAAGUCAGGGGUGAAAUCCUGGAGCUCAACUCCAGAACUGCCUUUGAUACUGGGAAGCUCGAGUCCGGAAGAGGUAAGUGGAACUCCGAGUGUAGAGGUGAAAUUCGUAGAUAUUCGGAAGAACACCAGUGGCGAAGGCGGCUUACUGGUCCGGUACUGACGCUGAGGUGCGAAAGCGUGGGGAGCAAACAGG